rnacentral:rRNA from 1 species
GACGAACGCUGGCGGCGUGCUUAACACAUGCAAGUCGAGCGACGCUCCUCCUUCGGGAGGAUGACGGAGCGGCGAACGGGUGAGUAACACGUGGGCAACCUGCCCCUAGCUCUGGGAUAACUCCUCGAAAGAGGGGCUAAUACCGGAUACGACCUCGGAGGGCAUUCUCUGAGGUGGAAAGUUUUUCGGCUAGGGAUGGGCCCGCGGCCUAUCAGCUUGUUGGUGAGGUAACGGCCCACCAAGGCGACGACGGGUAGCCGGCCUGAGAGGGCGAUCAGCCACACUGGGACUGAGACACGGCCCAGACUCCUACGGGAGGCAGCAGUGGGGAAUCUUGCGCAAUGGGCGAAAGCCUGACGCAGCGACGCCGCGUGAGGGAAGAAGGCCUCGG